GAUACCAACCUCCAUCGUAUCAUUUUGUCCUUUUGAGAUAAAAAUCUCCCGUCUUUUAUACUUUCUGCGAGAUCAUCUGAAAAUGAGAAAAGACGUCAAAAUUAAAGAAAAAGAAUGGGAAUUGGAUAAGCUGCUGUUAAAAAUGAGGGAAAUGGAGAGUGGGAGAAGAUGGGAGUCCCAUUUUUCAUCUUUUUUCGUCCCAGCUUUGCACUGAUUGGUAAUGCAACCUCUUUGCCAUUCUCUCGCCAAAGCCAUAAAUAGUCCCCACAGGGGAGGUGUGUGGUCUUGUGCUGGACAUCCCAUUCCUUCAGUCUUCGACACAACUUUAAUCAAAAUAAACAUUAUUAUCAGAUUAA